rnacentral:rRNA from 1 species
GACGAAGGUGGCAAGCGUUGUUCGGAUUCACUGGGCAUAAAGGGCGCGUAGGCGGUUCCGAAAGUGGCCUGUGAAAUCCCCCGGCUCAACCGGGGAAGUGCGGGCCAAACUUCGGUCCUUGAGGCUGGGAGGGGAGACUGGAACUCUCGGUGGAGCGGUGAAAUGCGUAGAUAUCGAGAGGAACACCGGUGGCGAAGGCGAGUCUCUGGUCCAGCUCUGACGCUGAGGCGCGAAAGCGUGGGUAGCAAACAGG